GACGAACGCUGGCGGCGUGCUUAACACAUGCAAGUCGAACGGAAAGGCCCUGCUUGCAGGGUACUCGAGUGGCGAACGGGUGAGUAACACGUGGGUGAUCUGCCCUGCACUUCGGGAUAAGCUUGGGAAACUGGGUCUAAUACCGGAUAGGAACCAUCUUUAGUGUGGUGGUUGGAAAGUUUUUUCGGUGUAGGAUGGGCUCGCGGCCUAUCAGCUUGUUGGUGGGGUAAUGGCCUACCAAGGCGGCGACGGGUAGCCGGCCUGAGAGGGUGUACGGCCACAUUGGGACUGAGAUACGGCCCAGACUCCUACGGGAGGCAGCAGUGGGGAAUAUUGCACAAUGGGCGCAAGCCUGAUGCAGCGACGCCGCGUGGGGGAUGAAGGCCUUCGGGUUGUAAACACCUUUCGCUAGGGACGAAGCUUUUUGUGACGGUACCUAGAGAAGAAGCACCGGCUAACUACGUG
rnacentral:rRNA from 1 species